UAUCUCUGUAGAGUCUGCAUAUCAAUAAGCGGAGGAAAAGAAACUAACAAGGAUUCCCCUAGUAACGGCGAGUGAAGCGGGAAGAGCUCAAAUUUGAAAUCUUCAAGGUUUGACCUUGACGAAUUGUAGUUUAAAGAAGUGUUUUCGGUUAGAGGAGUAGUAAAAGUUCUUUGGAAUAGGACAUCAUAGAGGGUGAGAAUCCCGUAUUUGACUAUUCUUUCUAGCUUUGUGAUACACUUUCAAAGAGUCGGAUUGUUUGGGAAUGCAGUCCAAAAUGGGUGGUAAAUUUCAUCUAAAGCUAAAUAUUGGCGAGAGACCGAUAGCGAACAAGUACCGUGAGGGAAAGAUGAAAAGAACUUUGAAAAGAGAGUUAAACAGUACGUGAAAUUGUCAAAAGGGAAGCGUUUGACACCAGUGUUGUUUUUCCGAAAAUCAAUUAAAAAUUGAUUCAUGCCAGGUUGUAUUGACCUUAUCAGCUUGCAAUUUGGUUUUGGGUCUCUUUUUGAUGCACUUUUCGGUUAACAAGUCAACAUCAAUUUCCUUUGCUGUAAAAAGGUAAGAGGAAGGUGGCUUCAAUUUCGGUUGAAGUGUUUAUAGCCUUUUGUCUCUGCAGUCGGGGAGAUUGAGGUCUGCAGCGUAGAUCCUUCGGGGCUAGAUACAUUUAUGCUAAGUUAUAGCUUUUCAUAGACAACUUGUUGACUAUGUUUAGUCAUGUAGCUUACUCGUAAGUGCUAUUUUACCUACGCUUAGGAUGUUGAAGACUCUACAGAGAUA
rnacentral:rRNA from 1 species